GAUGAACGCUGGCGGCGUGCCUAAUACAUGCAAGUCGAGCGAACAGACGAGACGCUUGCUCCUCAGACGUUAGCGGCGGACGGGUGAGUAACACGUGGAUAACCUACCUAUAAGACUGGGAUAACUUCGGGAAACCUGAGCUAAUACCGGAUAAUAUAUUGAAACGCAUUGUUCAAUAGUGAAAGACGGAUUUGCUCUCUCUUAUAACUAGAUCCCGGCCGAAUUUGCUAUUUGGUAAGGUAACGGUUAACCACGCCAACGGUGCGUAGCGGACCUGAGAGGGGGACCGGCCAAACGGGACCGGAGAACCGGUCAGGCCUCCUACGGGGGGCAGCAGUGGGGAUUCUUCCGCAAUGGGCGAAGGCCUGACGGAGCAACGCCGCGUGGUUGAUGAAGGUCUUCGGACCGUAAAACUCGGUUAUUGGGGAAGAAGAAAUGUGUAAGUAACUAUGCACGUCUUGACGGUACCUAAUCAGAAAGCCACGGCUAACUACGUG
rnacentral:rRNA from 1 species